rnacentral:lncRNA from 1 species
AAUAUGGAAUCCAUACUAUCAUAUUCCCAUUUUCUGAAAACUUAACCAUGAGUUGGGGCUUCAAGGACAGGAGGCUUCUGACAUUGGGUUAUCUGAUGGCACAACACCAAAGAGACAUUCUACACUGGUUUGAACUGAGAGCAAUGGACCUGAGACCAUUCUUGAAACCAGGAGUAAGGAAGGAAGGACCAGCGAAGAAAGAGCUUUCUUAAUGAAAAGAUAUUACCAAGGGGUUGCACAGACCAUUUCCACCACACCCCAUUGGCAAGAAUGUGUUUUAUUUUUGGUGGCUCAGGUCUAUAUUAAAGAAGAAACGAAUGGAUACCGGAUGACAACUCUGCCAUGGCAGGUAUGUUUUCAAGAAGUUUUAUUGUAAAA